CACGCCGUAAACGAUGAAUACUAGGUGUAGGGGGUAUCGACCCCCCCUGUGCCGCAGCUAACGCAAUAAGUAUUCCACCUGGGGAGUACGGCCGCAAGGUUGAAACUCAAAGGAAUUGACGGGGGCCCGCACAAGCAGUGGAGUAUGUGGUUUAAUUCGAAGCAACGCGAAGAACCUUACCAGGGCUUGACAUCCCUUGACGACGGUAGAGAUACCGUUUCCCUUCGGGGCAAGGAGACAGGUGG
rnacentral:rRNA from 1 species